AUUGAACGCUGGCGGCAGGCCUAACACAUGCAAGUCGAACGGUAACAGGGAUCAGCUUGCUGAUUCGCUGACGAGUGGCGGACGGGUGAGUAAUGUCUGGGAAACUGCCUGAUGGAGGGGGAUAACUACUGGAAACGGUAGCUAAUACCGCAUAACGUCGCAAGACCAAAGAGGGGGACCUUCGGGCCUCUUGCCAUCGGAUGUGCCCAGAUGGGAUUAGCUAGUAGGUGGGGUAACGGCUCACCUAGGCGACGAUCCCUAGCUGGUCUGAGAGGAUGACCAGCCACACUGGAACUGAGACACGGUCCAGACUCCUACGGGAGGCAGCAGUGGGGAAUAUUGCACAAUGGGCGCAAGCCUGAUGCAGCCAUGCCGCGUGUAUGAAGAAGGCCUUCGGGUUGUAAAGUACUUUCAGCGGGGAGGAAGGGAGUAAAGUUAAUACCUUUGCUCAUUGACGUUACCCUCAGAAGAAGCACCGGCUAACUCCGUG
rnacentral:rRNA from 1 species